AUUUAGUCCUGGUCUGCUCCGGAGGAAGCCCAGUGCUCGCACUAGAAGCUCAGCCUGGAUUUCAAGGAAGAAGUCUGAAACACUCUCCUGACCAUCCAUCACUACACACAUUCUCUCCAUCAUCGUCUCAGAACAGGGGUCCUGGGCUGGCAGCCUGCACCCCGUGGUGGACUGGAGCCACCACCAACUGCCUGGAGAGCUGAGUGUGCCCAUCUCUUCCCAAUUUCACCUGCAGUGCCAGUAGCUUGAAACCAGCCACGGAGCUGGCCCUGACCUUGGUGCUCCGGCUUCUUUGGAUGCCAUCCCUGCUUGCCCCAUAGAAACUAAGGAGAGGGACCUGGGCAGGGCAGGUGGUUUUACCAGCAGGACCAUGACCUCCACUGGCUGUACUCAUCCUGGGGCUGUGGGUGACCA